GACGAACGCUGGCGGCGUGCUUAACACAUGCAAGUCGAACGGAAAGGCCCUGCUUUUGUGGGGUGCUCGAGUGGCGAACGGGUGAGUAACACGUGAGUAACCUGCCCUUGACUUUGGGAUAACUUCAGGAAACUGGGGCUAAUACCGGAUAGGAGCUCCUGCUGCAUGGUGGGGGUUGGAAAGUUUCGGCGGGUGGGGAUGGACUCGCGGCUUAUCAGCUUGUUGGUGGGGUAGUGGCUUACCAAGGCUUUGACGGGUAGCCGGCCUGAGAGGGUGACCGGCCACAUUGGGACUGAGAUAAGGCCCGGACUCCUACGGGAGGCAGCAGUGGGGAAUAUUGCACAAUGGGCGGAAGCCUGAUGCAGCAACGCCGCGUGCGGGAUGACGGCCUUCGGGUUGUAAACCGCUUUCGCCUGUGACGAAGCGUGAGUGACGGUAAUGGGUAAAGAAGCACCGGCUAACUACGUG
rnacentral:rRNA from 1 species